rnacentral:rRNA from 1 species
GGAUGAGUUGCGAACGGGUGAGUAACGCGUAGGUAACCUGCCUGGUAGCGGGGGAUAACUAUUGGAAACGAUAGCUAAUACCGCAUAACAGUAGAUAUCGCAUGAUAUGUGCUUGAAAGAUGCAAUUGCAUCACUACCAGAUGGACCUGCGUUGUAUUAGCUAGUUGGUGAGGUAACGGCUCACCAAGGCAACGAUACAUAGCCGACCUGAGAGGAUGACCAGCCACACUGGGACUGAGACACGGCCCAGACUCCUACGG